UCUUCUUCCAGGCGAGCUUCCAUUUUUUUCUUCUCCAACUUUCUAUCUAUUUUCUCUUCCAUUUUGCUUUUUUGCUCACACUGUUUUUCUUUGCAUUCUCAUCUUCUUCCAUGAGUUUUAAUUGAACUUUGUUAUAUUUUCUUGGUUAUUUUAAUAUUGCUUUCAAUUUUUUCUGCUUUAAUUUGUUGAUUUGUGAUUGUAAGUAUGUUGCAUGGACGAAAUUCCUAUGUUGAAUCCCACUUCUUAUUCGUCUCCUGUGCACAAGACGGUAGAUUCGUCUCAAUUUUGUAUUGAUAGGUCGUAUUAUUAAAGGGCACAACCAAAAAUUUCUUUGGCCAUAUACCAGCAAAGACCUCAAAAUUCAAUUGGGUAUGAUGUAGAUUUCUUCGUCUUUCAUCUAUACCAUUUUGCGAAGUACAAAAAAUUAUCAUUUGUAAACCCUAAAUGUUAGACCAAAUAAAAUGUUUUUUUUUCCAGUAUUGACAUCAUUGGCAUGGAAAAUUGUGGAAAGUCUAUGACCGAAAAAAAAUUGAACUUAUGUGCUUUUUUUUUUUUAUAUAUUUGAGAAAUUAGUAAUGUAAGUUGUAUUUUAUUUGGCCCCAUUUCACUAAACAACUUGAUAAUUGCAAAUAUUCUUAAGGAUUCAUUCAGUAAAGAAUACAGCGUUCUAUUUACUACUUACAGGAAACGGACGUAUGACCACCUCUGUUCAUCAUUCUUUGCCAUUUUACGAGCAACUUCCAGACUCUUUGAUUUCGAGCACCACGUUUUCGAAUCUUACUAUUCUCCAUUCCAAUUGAUCUUGGAGUUGCACUUCAUAUGUGGAAGUAGAAAGUUGAGAAUACAACAACACACCUCCGAAAAAUGAAGAAGGUAUCAUUGAAUGUGAAAAGGUCCUAUAUUGCCCCAUUUCAGAUGAAGGAACACGACAUGUUCCUUGAUAAUUUAGAUAACCUAUUAAAGGAACGACUGUGGAAGAAGAGCACACCAGAUGGCUAUAUCUCUUAUGUGCGCCUUCUUGCGGAUCAACGCUAUUGUGGUAUAUCAUAUGUGGACAAAAAAUAAGUCUAUUCCCUUUUGAAGGAGCUGCAAAUCACCAAGUUCGACCAACUCAACCUCAAGAUAAUUUCAACAAAAGAAAAAUUAUACAAUCCUCUAACCAUUUCUCAAACAAGAACAACAGAUAGUAAUAUUCACGCAUUGAAAAGUAACAUCUGGAAGGAAGGAGUUGAAGAGUUGUUGUUCCAAUGACACAUUGCAAUUGCUGGCAUACUACCUUUUUUUUUUUUUUUUAGUUUUUUGUUUCUAACUUAGUUGAUUGUCCCUUCAACUAAAUCAUUUAUAACUUGAAUACAUUUCGUUGAAAAUUGUUAUUUAUAGUUGGAAUAGAUUCCAAAUUACUUUGUUUA